CUUUCUGUGAGUCAAGCCCUGGGUUCUAGAACACUGUGGUUGCCCUAGAGAAUUCAGUCAGGGUGGCAAAGUUGUCCUCUUCUAGUCUAGAAGAGGAUUGUAUUUAUUUUCUUCAGCAUGCAAAGGGAAGAGAAACACCAAGCCAACUGACUCUGUAUGCUGGUCUUUUUGGAAAGCUGAUACCAUAAGUACCAUGGAGUAUGCUCCUUUACUUUUUAGGCUGAGGAUCUAACUGUUGCUCUGACUAUCAAGUAUUCACACCUGAGCACCCAGGAUCAAUAUUCAACUGUCGAGGGAACCUGAUCCUGGCCUAUAUGCUUCUGCCACUGGGGUUUGUGAUCCUCCUGAGUGGAAUUUUCUGGAGCACCUACCGCCAGGCAAGUAAAAGCAAAGGAGUGUUCACCCAUGUGCUCAGAAGACAUCUUUCUCAUGGGGCACUGCCCCUGGCCACUGUCGACAGGCCAGAUUUCUACCCUCCUGCAUAUGAAGAGAGUCUUGAUGCUGAGAAGCAACCCUGUCCUACAGAGGGAGAAGUCUCAGAUAUUCCUCCACCACUGUACACAGAGCCGGGCCUGGAAUUUGAGGACGCAGCUGAUGCCCACCCAGAGGCUCCCCCUUCCUAUGAGGAGUCUGUAGCAGGUGGGGUGCCGGCAGCCACACCAUUACAGGAUGCUGAGAGGCAAAGCCGAGGAUGCUGAAGCAGGGGACACUUCCUUGCGCUCGUGAUGCACCCUCAUGGGUUAGACUUGAUAAUAAUAAAUGCAGGCACCAGACUAUGGGAGGGAAAGUGUCUUCCAUGACCCCCAGGAGCACUUGCCGAGGAGAUGCUGUGGAUGUCAUGCAGUUCCACAGAUGUGCUAGGCCCAUGGGGACCCCAGAAGGAGCCGGCGGCAGCCAACAACAUUUCAACGGAUUUGCGCUAAUCCCAGCCCAGGUGGGCUUCGGGGACCAAUUUUGUAGCUCUGCUCCAAGAGGCCUUUGACUUUCAACCCCCUCCCAUCACCUCAGCCCCCAUUGGGGAGGAACAGGUGCUGCUCUUGAGGCAGCCAGCCGUGCGUCUUCAGGUACCACAUCACCCAACAAUCACAAACGGAGAGUGUGCUGGAAACGAAGGAUCAGUGUGGUUUAAUUUGCAGCUUUUGUUGGCUGGUUUCAUAGUUCUCUCCAGAUUUACCAGAGUGACACUGUAGUUCGCGUUGUGGGAGAUGUGCUCUUGGAAGCCAUGAAUAUUACUUGUAUUACUUUUUAAGUUAUGUGUAUUUUAUUUCUAUGUGGAAAACAACUGUAAUAUUUCCUUUCAAAAUGGCUCGAACACAAAGUUUUCAAUGAAUAUCUUAAAAACGGGAUGGUUGUACAAGCAGAGAUGAUGAGAUUUCUUAGAGACUCAAGUUGAACAGAUAGAAUACUUAAAAAUUCAUAAAAACACAGAAUUUAGGGAGGGAAACUGUACUAGCCAUAGGUGGCAUUAAUAUAGAUUUUGACAUAAAUCUUGAAAGACAUUAAAAUAUAUAUGAAAUGUAUAUUUCAAAAAAUCCCCCACUGCAGAUCUUUAGAAAGGAGACUGUAUUGUAGUACUUUGAUCCUUAACAGAAAAUUCUUUGUGUCUCAAGAUACAGACCCACACAUUUGUAGACUUGGGACAUUUAUCUUAAGACCCACUGACUCUUCAGCUUUGUUAUACUUUAUUACAUGUUUUAACACGAGAGGACAUGUCAGGUAGAAACGUGGUGGGAAGAGAUGCAUUAGAGCUUGGACAAAAAUCUUCACCUCUCUGAGCCUCAGUUUCUUCCUCAAUCAAGUGAGGAAUUUGUGCUGGGAUUAUUAUUUAAUAGCUAUGGAAUGUCUCUUAUAUGAUGGGUUCUGUGCCAUGAACCUUUUAUGCUUUUUAUUUAGCCCUCAUCAUACCCUUCAGAAAUAAGUGCAAUGGUUAUUCCCCUUUUACAGAUGUAUAAACUGAGACUUUGAGGUGUUAAGAAGAAACUUUGCCCAUAGCAUAUGGUUGUUGCCAGUAGGGUGAAGCAGCAUCUACAGAAGGGCAUGAGAGGAUGUAUUUACUUCAAACAUUUGUGCUAGAUUAACCCUGUCUUCCCUCCCUUCUCCCACGGAGCAGUUUGGUCUUCUCUCCAGCUUCAGAAAGUGGACCCUAACAGGAAGAGGAGCCCCAGCACUGUGCAAUACCUUACAGCCCUUGGGGAAGCCAGAGAUCUUCCUUUAAGAUUCUCUUUUUAUUUUUUCUUAAUAUAAAAAAAGGUUUUAAACUUUUUCAUUAAGGUAUAGUUGACAUAGAAUAGGGUUCUCUUUUAAAAUGUAAAUACUCCCUCCAUGUUUUCUGCCUAGGAGCUUGGCCCUCACCUCUCUGCGGUUUCAUUCUCUCUGAUCAUUCCAUCUAAGAUGAAAGGUGGCUCCUAUUGGUAACAGGCAGCCCUCAGGGAAGGGGCAGAGGGGGGGUUUGGACAGUGAUGGCAAGGAUGAAGAGCUUUCAGGGAGGAAGAAAGUUGUCGAGAUGGAAUGAGACCUCCAUGGCCUCCUCUUCCCAUUUUUGCUGAGCACACAGAUUACUCAUAUCCUGGCAAAUACACAGGAAGCCACACAAAAGGAAGUCCUGGUCCCUUUAUAUGAAACAUACAUUUGGGCACCCAUGAUUUGAAUCCUUGACAUCAAAGGUAUAAUUGGAUAUGAAGGUCACUCAUGGUUGUCCAAUGGGAAGGUGAUCAUUUAUUAGCAGUGCAAUAUAUUAUUUCUCUCUUGAACUCUCUUUCUAUCCCUCUACCAAGACUGUUAUCCUGAGAUCUCUGGGGUCUCAGCACAUCCACGGGCCAGAACAAAUUCUGUCAUUGGGCUUUCAUCCAGAGUUUGCAUUUGUAAUAGGUGGUUUUUCCAACUUCUGGUAGUCAUAUAAGACAUGUUAAUUUUGGUUUACAUACGAAAAUUGUUUUGAUCUUUUUACGGCAAUAAAUUUUGUACAUAAACUUU